rnacentral:lncRNA from 1 species
AUUUCUCAAUGGCCACAAGAUCCCACCACGCUCCCUAGCCCAUUGCCAUCUAAUCUAGCUUCCUCCUGUUCCUCCCUUCCCAUCUCUGCACCUCAUCCUUCCUUCCUUGAUAGACUCUGGGAAGCCAGAUUCUCCUCUGCUGUGCUGAGCAAUUCCAGUCUUCCCAGUGCCCUUUCCCUAAAUUCCUCCCCAGGACCACCUUUUUUUUUUUUUUGAGAUGACGUCUCGCUCUGUUGCCCAAGCUGGAGUGCUCUCAGCUCACUGCAACCUCCGCCUGCCGGGUUCAAGUGAUUCUCCUGCCUCAGCCUCCUGACCUCACAUGGCACAGCUAAGGCGAUUGCUUCUCAUGAAUGCCAAGAGAUGACUUGUCUUCAGCCUACCCACCCACCUGACUCAGCACCUCUACUGGCAAGCUCACUGCCCUGAACAGCGCAUCCACACACAGGUUGGACCAGAGAUCCUGAUGUAUCUUACUUCAGUUCCCAAAGCUGCCACACAUUAAAGUUCAUACUGAGAAGGCAUCCACCAAUUGUAAACAAUGUUCAAGAAAUCUGUUCUGAUGACUGUUUGUGCUACUUUCCCUCCCUGCAACCAACCUGGAUUCCCAAGGCUGCUCCUCAUGCCUCUCAACCCUGGUCUUGAAAACCUCCCUUCUCCUCCACGAUUCCAGGAGCUCUGCCUGGACAGCCUUUUAAGGGUUGAAGGCUCCACAUG